UGAUCUGGCUGGCUCGGUGUGUGUCCCUCCCAAAGCUUCACAUGUGCUUGAAAAGAACAACCCUUCCAGAUGGAGUAGGCCUGUUCUUCAGUCAAGGGUCUAAGAAUAGCUGCACUCCUUUUCUAGAACCCCCUGUCGCAUCGGGGGGACCAACACUGACCGCUGCUCUGGGAUGGAUGAGCAUAGCUGCCCCACUAUGGGAGGUACCUCCCCCAAAUUCAUAAACUUCAUACCAAUAAAAAUUUAGAG
rfam:Fukomys damarensis contig148528, whole genome shotgun sequence.